CACCCAUGAGGUUCUCCAGACAAUGACCAUGUGAGUACAUCUUGUUCGGCAGACUUUAGGCAGCAUGCGAGCAAGUGGGGGAGUCCGUGCAAGUCUUGGACACCGAGAUUAUACAGACGCGGAUCAACAAAGACAAGUACCUCAACUAUGGCGGGUCCAGCGCCGAAUGAGGUUCUCCAGUGUGCCAGCUGUGAGCAGCCAGACUUCCUGCAUGGUCGCGCAGAGCUCCAAGGUCAAGAGCCUGAGAGACAGCCAUUGGAAGCUGUCUUGUCUCUUCUAACGGAGCCUUGAAAGCCAUUUGGUGUCAUCCCCACCACUUUCUCUUCAGUACAAAUUGGCAAAGAUUUAAAAAACUGGAUAACAUCUAUUGGCAAAGCCCAGGAACGUGAGAUCCAGACCUGCCCACGCUGAACGAUGAACGAGGCGAGAAGUCACAGAACGGGGACUCAGGCUCAGGGCUUCUCCGUCGAGGCUGUGGGCACCGCGGCCACUCGCCGGCGUGUCUGCCUCCCGCUGAAUCUUCAGGUCAGAGCAUCCAUGCCGCCUCUUCCACACGGCCUUCCCACCCACCCCGCCAGUGUCCUGUCCUACCUCACUCUUCCCCACUCACCUGCUUCUGUUCUUCACCCCAUCACCACUGCUGUUGGAGAUCAUCUGUAUUGUUUUUAAGUCUGUGGACUAUUCUAUGU